CGUGUAGGCGGUCAGGUAAGUGGAAUGUGAAAUGCCCCGGCUCACCCGGGACCGGCAUCCCAAACUGCCUGGCUUGAGUAUGGGAGAGGAUGGAGGAAUUCCUGGUGUAGCGGUGAAAUGCGUAGAUAUCAGGAGGAACACCGGUGGCGAAGGCGUCCAUCUGGCCCAAUACUGACGCUGAGGCGCGAAAGCUAGGGGAGCAAACG
rnacentral:rRNA from 1 species